AGGCCAUAUUAACAUUGAAACACUAGUUCCCAUAUGAUCACCAAAGUUAAGCAAUAUUGAGCCUGAUCAGUACCUAGGCGGGUGACCACUUGGGAAUACCAAAGGCUGUC